GAUGAAGAACGCAGCGAAAUGCGAUAAGUAAUGUGAAUUGCAGAAUUCAGUGAAUCAUCGAAUCUUUGAACGCAUCUAGCGCUCCUUGGUAUUCUGAGGAGCAUGCCUGUUUGAGUGUCAUUAAAUUCUCAACUACACUGACUUUGAAUUGGUGUGGCUUGGAUUUGGGGGGAAAAUUGUUGUGGGCUUUUUGUAUAGUCUGCUCCCCUGAAAUUGAUUAGCGGUACCUUUGUGGAACUGUCUACAGGUGUGAUAAUUAUCUACAUCUUAGACAUCUGCUGGAAUGCUGCUUUCUAAACCUUACUUGUAUUGACAAUCUUGACCUCAAAUCAGGUAGGACUACCCGCUGAACUUAAGCAUAUCAAUAAGCGGAGGA
rnacentral:misc_RNA from 1 species